CGUCUAAACGUGAAGGUAUUGGGUGAAACAAUUCAUUACUCACUGUGGGUUUAUUCAGUGUUUCUGGCUCUCAGGUGUGAUAUUGCAUGGAGCAGAGAGCCCUGUGCACCUGGGUUGAUCACAAACCAGCAGGCUCAGUGCACCUUGGUGACAAGGUGGAUUUGAUGACAGUUGAGGGCAACAGGACUCGGAUUUGCUGCAGUGGGCUACGGCUUCUACAGUACCAAUAAUUUCUGUUUCAAAGCUACUUGAAUCCCAUUUCAUUGUAACCCAUCCCCCUGCAAAGAACAGCCUUCAGACAUUUCCAGAUCUGUCUCUAAAAGCUUUUCCCAGUUGCUGCUUUUGUGCAGGAACCCAAAGCUAGAAGGGGUUGCCUAGCUCAUAAAGGUUGACUCCUUAGAUUCCUCAUUGACUGCAGGAAAUAGUAUAAUACACAAUUCACUUCCUGCAGCCACCAAACGCCUCUAAGCACCCAUUCAACAUUAAUUCAUAAGGGUCAGAGAAAGGAGAGCAGCUAAAGAGAGCAGGAGAGGUCUGGAGCACUGCUACUGUCUCAGGAACUGAGAAGCAAUUCCCAGAAAUUCAAACUCCUUCCUGUAGUUCCAGAGAGGAAAGCCAUACUUCAGCUAAAGGACACAGAGCCUUUCAGAAGCCCUGCAAAUCCAGAGAUUUAUAAGUUGAUUCAAUAAAGGCCAUGAACUCCAGAAGAA